GCACCUAUAGCUCAGCUGGAUAGAGCGCUGCCCUCCGAAGGCAGAGGCCGCACGUUCGAAUCGUGCUAGGUGCGCCA
rnacentral:tRNA from 17 species